rnacentral:lncRNA from 1 species
GCACUCCAGCCUGGGUGACAGAGUGAGACCCUGUCUCUAAAAAAGAACAAUAAAAAGACCCAAGUCGGACACAUCAUUCCUACACUCAAAGCCCGUGAACGGCUUCCUCUGGCAACUGGAGUCAAACAUCAAGUCCUCCCGGAGCCGGAGAGCCCUGCAGUACUUUGGCUGCUCUGUGGCCUCACCUGGGACCCCUGGUCUGUCCACUUGCUACUGUCCAGUGACAGUGGCUUCCCACCAUCCCUUAAACUCCCCCUUUGCUGCUGCUGCUCUAGGGCUGUUACACUGUUUUCUCUGCACAGAAUGCUCUGUCCGGCUCUGCAUGGCUUGUUCCUGAAAUUCAUGCAGGUGAGCUAGUCGGAGGCCUCCCCUUAACCCCACCACAGAUGAAUGCCCCUUCUCACCCUCCUGCAAUCCAAAAUGUGUGUCUCUCGGAACCUCUGGCCCACUUCCCUUUUCUCUGUGGAGCUCGUUACCAUGGGACCCUGGGUUUUGUAACUGUGGUUUAUUGCCUUGUCUUUCCAAUAAGAAUGCACAGCAGUCUGUCUGGGUCAUUGCGGUAGCCCCUCACACCCCCCUGAACAAUGCUGGGUAGACACCCAAUAGAGUUAUCAAAUGGAUAAAUAAAUGCAAUUGCAGAGAGGAGGCGGCCACUUUUGGCGGCCUCCAUGCGUGGUGCCAGGGCCAUGUGCGAGGCCAUUGACGAGUGUUAGCUCACUGGAUUUCCAUACUGACCUCGGGAGGUGGAGACUCACAAAUCCAUUUUACAAAUAAGGAAUCUAAGGCUCAAAAAAUCCCAAGGAGACCACACAGCUCGCGACGGGUUGAGCCAGUUUUGACGCCAAGUUUGCCUGCAGCCCGAGCCCAAGUGCCACCCCUGCUCCAUGCCACUUGCUGGCACAGCUCUGAUGACUGUCUCCUGCCUGGCUCUGACGGGUCUCUGCCCAAGUGUUCUGGUAAUGAUUUUCACCCCCCCGUCUGCCCCCUUCAUCGUGACUCUCAUUCAUUUGUUUUAAAGGCCAUUUCUCUCCUGUCCUAUAGCCUUGCACAUUCUGGUUAGCUAAACAAGAACUCCAGUUCUCGGCAACACAUCAGUGAGACAGGAUGGGGCGGGGAGAGGCGCCCACCUCCGUGUGCUAAUGCAUUUACCUCCAGGCCGCAGGCCUCCGCGGAGCUGGCAGCCAGGAACCUCCAGAGGCUCCCAACCUAGCCCGUCCUGCAAGAUGAAGCUGCUUCUUGGGAAUCUUUUAGCUCAGGAUGCUGUGUUCCAUAUUCACGACGGCAUUUCCAUGCUCGUGAGGGCAACCAGUAGAACUGUUCUCUGUGCCGGACGAGCACCAAUGGCUCCGCUCCUCCUUGCUGCCUCCCUGAGUCGCUCUGUCCCUGGGACUGCUAAGGGCACGGGGCCUGUAGUGACGGUUCCGGCCGCCAGGGAAGAUGCUGGCCUUCCUGGUCUGCCUGGGAUUAAUGAACUUGGCCACUCUUGGGACUCCUCCCCUUGCUAGCCUGCAGGUUCACCUCUCCCAAGAGUCCAGGGUCUGUAUCGCCCCUUUCCUUCUCCCCUUAACUGAUUUAUCUUGCUUUGGGAUAAUACCACCCCCUCCCUCCCCACGACCAGACAAGCCAUGUGUGCCCCGCCCUCUCCUAAGCAAUUUACAGGAAUGAACUCCUGACUCUCCAAACAACUGUAUGGGACAGGCACCCCCCCAUCUUCCAGAGAACAGCAUGCAGGCUCAGAGAGGUGAAGUGACUUGCCCAUGGUCACACUGCUGGGGAGGUGGAGAAGCCAGGAUGUAGGCUGGCUUAACUGUGCUGCUAUUCUGCCUCAUGGCAUUUAGUUUGAAGAGAAGGGGCUUCAGGACAAUACUAACCUAGGUGCACAGGUUGUCCUUCCCGUUGCUAAGGAGCCCUAGGCAAGUCAGUUAAUCUCAGAGUCUGUUUCAUCGGCAAAAUGGGCCUGAAUUUCUUCCUGAUUCACUGGGUAGUUUGUACAGAUGAAAUGUGAUCACAGCUGCCAAUAAACCUGGUCCCACAGUGACGUGGACAGCAGCCUCCUGCAGCACCACUGCUCCGCCCGGGCUAUGAGAAGAUGGGCACUGGCAGGGAGGGUGGCAGGCAGUCCCAACAGCUGGGGCUCCAGGCUGAUAGCAGUGGCUGAGAGGGAGUCAUCCCAGAUCUCAGGCUAUCCCACCCAUCUCAUCCCAGAGGGCACCAUAUGUCUCUCCACCACAUAGUCACCUGUCUCCCUGACUGUGUUCCACUGUCACUAGAACAAGAGGAUCUGGGCCUGCCAAGCUCCAAAGACAGCUCAUCGUGAGGAGGAAAAGUGACUUUACAAAAGCAAUGUGUGGUGGCUGUUAAACUGCUGCAUCUUCUAUCCGCCUUCACACCAUUCUCACGCACAUACACAUGCGCACACACAUGCCUACAUGCACACACAUAGGCAUGGGCGCACACACAGGCAUGCGCACACAUGCGUACAUGCACGCACACAGGC